UACGUAGGGGGCAAGCGUUGUCCGGAAUCAUUGGGCGUAAAGCGCGUGUAGGCGGCUCGAUAAGUCCGUUCUGAAAGUCCAGGGCUCAACCCUGGGAUGCGGAUGGAUACUGUCGAGCUCGAGUCCGGAAGAGGCGAGUGGAAUUCCUGGUGUAGCGGUGAAAUGCGCAGAUAUCAGGAGGAACACCAAUGGCGAAGGCAGCUCGCUGGACGUGACUGACGCUGAGACGCGAAGGCGUGGGGGGAGCAAACAGG
rnacentral:rRNA from 1 species